AUGGUGAGAGAACUAUCAUCCAGGACACCAGGGUCUUGCCCAAAUAUAUGUGCAGCAAUGAAUCUGGAAUCAAAUCCAAAAGAAAACAAGAGAAGAAAUAUUCCUGCUAGUACAUAUGGUUUUAGCAAAGAUUUGACAAGGAAGGGCAGCAAUGAGUUAAAAUCUCCCUCCAAAAUAUCACAUGAGGAGGAAGGUGAUUAUGAGACUGUAAGUAGUUCCACUCUGGAAGCCAUGCAUGCUUUGAGAAUUCUUCCAGCCAAACCUCUACAAGAAUCUGAAUAUGCAGACACACGUUGUUUAAAGCCUUUAGGUACCACUUCCCGUGUGACUAACCAGCACACAUCUUCUCAGCCUCCUCAAUACUUGACUGUAAGUAAAGAUAUUAAGCCUAAUUCAUGAUAUAUUUCUCCUUAUCUGUGAUAGUGCUUAAAGUUAAGUGCAGCUUACCUAUAAUCUUAGCCAAAUAACAUUUAAUUUUUACAAGUUCACAACAGUUGCAUUGUGUUCCUGUUUCACUUUGCAACAAAUAUUAUUGUUGUUGUCCUUGUAACUUACGGGAACCAUAUCAACUGUAUCUAUCUAUAUAUAUCUAAGUAUACUUAUGUCAUACCUAUAUUUAUGGGAGACAAUCAGCCCCACAACUGUGCUUAAUGCCUAACCCUGCUGCUUUCACUUAUUAACUGCACAAGAUCAAGACUGGAUCUACAAAGGAAGCAUUUGGAGGCAUCUCAGUCAAGAACAACACUGUUUCUGUUAGCUAUAGUUUCAUGUGUAAUGACUAACAUCGUAUCUUGAUUUUAUUUUAUUAACAGAAACACAUGUCCAUUCUAGAGGGGAUGAG
rnacentral:lncRNA from 1 species